rnacentral:rRNA from 1 species
ACGUAGGGUGCGAGCGUUGUCCGGAUUUAUUGGGCGUAAAGAGCCCGCAGGCGGCCUGGCAAGUUUCAGGUGAAAUCUCCCGGCUCAACUGGGAGGGGUCCUGGAAAACUGUCAGGCUUGAGGCAGGGAGAGGGAUGUGGAAUUCCCGGUGUAGUGGUGAAAUGCGUAGAUAUCGGGAGGAACACCAGUGGCGAAGGCGGCAUCCUGGCCCUGUCCUGACGCUCAGGGGCGAAAGCGUGGGGAGCAAACCG